UACGCAAAAAGAGUUUGUGCAUGAUGUACAGUAUAGACCCUGGUGCUGCUCACAGCCUGCCAUGUGAAUCCCAGUCCCUGUCUAUAUUGCACUUUGAAAUUAGCGUCGAAGUCUGCUGUGCUGUACUGUGAAUUUCUUGACCAUGGCACUAAGAUGUUUAGAAUACUCCCUCACAGAGCUGGACCCCUCCUUCUGAGCUCUCCUCUUCUGGCAAGAGCACAAAUGGGUACACAAGAUGUCAGGAGGAAGGAGCUGGGAGUUUUGGUGUCAGCAUGAGAGCCCAGUGCACUGCCUGGAAAGGUGGAGCUGGGCAGCUGCUGUGAGUUUGAGUGCUGAUAGUGGAAACAGGUCUUGCAGGGGCAUGAAGGUCAUAAAGAACAUGCUAGCCCUGGACACGCAUGAAAAAAUGCAUCAGAAUUUAAGUACUGAAAGGAUUGUUCUUGGACUAGUGUGGUGGAUGUCUCUAUAAGCAACCAUCCUGGAUGUUUUAAGAAAUACUGAGUCUGGGAUGGUGCUGGAGCCUGAGAUGGACGAUUGGAGCUGCCCUUGCCAACAAAAAGAACAAAGCUGGCUCAGGGCUACCUCCAGAUGCGGUUGAUCUCUGUGGGACUGCUCCAAGCCAGGUUGCAGUUUUCUUUUCCCACAGUGAUACUGAAAUCCUGAGUGGAGGUGAACAGCACCGAGUAGCUGGAGAGGGAAAGGUGUUGGCUCAUGACAUGGAGGAAAAGGCUUGGAAACAUUUGACGAUUCUGGUAUUCCUGACAGCUACAAGCAAUCAAAAAACUUGCCACCUACCUCUGUUUCUUCACUUUGAAUGUUAUACUGAAAAAGAUACGUCUUCUUUGGGAACU
rnacentral:lncRNA from 1 species